rnacentral:rRNA from 1 species
CGUUUUGUCUAUGCCACCCUGAACAUGCCCAAUCUCGUCUGAUCUCGGAAAUUAAGCAGGGUCGGGCCUGGUUAGUAAUUGGAUGGGAGACCACCUAGGAAUACUGGGUGCUGUAGCCU